rnacentral:rRNA from 1 species
AACGAACGCUGGCGGCGCGCCUAAUACAUGCAAGUCGAGCGAGAAGACGUAGCAAUACGUUUGUAAAGCGGCGAACGGGUGAGGAAUGCAUGGGUAACCUACCCUCGAGUGGGGAAUAACUAGCCGAAAGGUUAGCUAAUACCGCGUACGCUCCUUGGACUUCGGUUCAGGGAGGAAAGCGAUACCGUGGGUACCGCGCUCUUGGAUGGGCUCAUGUCCUAUCAGCUUGUUGGUGAGGUAACGGCUCACCAAGGCUUCGACGGGUAGCUGGUCUGAGAGGACGAUCAGCCACACUGGCACUGCGACACGGGCCAGACUCCUACGGGAGGCAGCAGUAAGGAAUAUUGCGCAAUGGGCGAAAGCCUGACGCAGCGACGCCGCGUGGGGGAUGAAGGUCUUCGGAUUGUAAACCCCUUUCGGGAGGGAAGAUGGAACGAGCAAUCGUUCGGACGGUACCUCCAGAAG